UACGUAGGGUCCGAGCGUUGUCCGGAAUUAUUGGGCGUCAAGAGCUCGUAGGCGGUUUGUCGCGUCUGCUGUGAAAUCCCGAGGCUCAACCUCGGGCCUGCAGUGGGUACGGGCAGACUGGAGUGCGGUAGGGGAGAAUGGAAUUCCUGGUGUAGCGGUGGAAUGCGCAGAUAUCAGGAGGAACACCGAUGGCGAAGGCAGGUCUCUGGGCAUUAACUGACGCUGAGGAGCGAAAGCAUGGGGAGCGAACAGG
rnacentral:rRNA from 1 species